UACGAAGGGUGCUAGCGUUGUUCGGAAUCACUGGGCGUAAAGCGCGCGUAGGCGGUUAUUCAAGUCAGGGGUGAAAUCCUGGGGCUCAACCCCAGAAUUGCCUUUGAAACUGUGUAACUGGAGUGUCGGAGGGGAGUGCGGAAUUGCUAAUGUAGCGGUGAAAUGCGUAGAUAUUAGCAGGAACACCGGUGGCGAAGGCGGCACUCUGGACGACAACUGACGCUGAGGCGCGAAAGCGCGGGGAUCAAACAGG
rnacentral:rRNA from 1 species